GACGAACGCUGGCGGCGUGCUUAACACAUGCCAGUCGAACGGAAAGGCCCUGCUUUUGCGGGGCGCUCGUGAGGCGAAGGGGUGAGUAACACGCGUGUACACCGUCCCUGUAUUAGGGGUAAAUCUAGGAAAAUGGGUCGCUAACCGCAUAGAAGAUCUUGCACCACAUGGGGGGUUGGAAAGAUUCGGCGUUGGGGGAUGGUCUCGCAGCUUACGAGCUUGUUGGUGUAGUAGGGGCAUACAAAGGUUUCGACGGGUAGCCGGCCUGAGAGGGUGGACGGCGACAUUGGGACUGAGAUACGGCCCAGACUCGUACGGGAGGCAGCAGUGGAGAAUAUUACACAAUGGGCGGAAGCCUGAUACAACAACGCCGCGUGCGUGAUAACGGCCUUCGAGUUGAAAACCGCUUUCGCCGGUGACGAGGCGUGAGUGACGGUAAUGGGUAAAAAAGCACCGGCUAACUACGUG
rnacentral:rRNA from 1 species